rnacentral:rRNA from 1 species
AUGAACGCUGGCGGCGUGCUUCACCCCUGCCCGUCGAACGAUGAAGCCCAGCUUGCUGGGUGGAUUAGUGGCGAACGGGUGAGUAACACGUGAGUAACCUGCCCUUGACUCUGGGAUAAGCCUGGGAAACUGGGUCUAAUACUGGAUAUGACUUCUCAUCGCAUGGUGGGGGGUGGAAAGAUUUAUUGGUCUUGGAUGGACUCGCGGCCUAUCAGCUUGUUGGUGAGGUAAUGGCUCACCAAGGCGACGACGGGUAGCCGGCCUGAGAGGGUGACCGGCCACACUGGGACUGAGACACGGCCCAGACUCCUACGGGAGGCAGCAGCGGGGAAUAUUGCACAAUGGGCGCAAGCCUGAUGCAGCGACGCCGCGUGAGGGAUGACGGCCUUCGGGUUGUAAACCUCUUUCAGUAGGGAAGAAGCGAGAGUGACGGUACCUGCAGAAGAAGCGCCGGCUAACUACGUG